rnacentral:misc_RNA from 1 species
AAGUCGUAACAAGGUCUCCGUAGGUGAACCUGCGGAGGGAUCAUUAACACGUUUUAAAACACGUUUUAUACCAACCAACCGCGUGAACUAUUUAACACCUGUUUCAUUCAUUUACAGUAAAAUGUGAAUGAAUGAGGCAAAACCAACCACUUUCACCAUUUCUAUAACCAUUGACUGAUCUUCUUUUUCUACUGUGGCAACAUAGUAUGAACUGGAAACUAUAAUCAAAUAUCUAAGCACAACUCUUAGCAACGGAUAUCUUGGUUCUC